ensembl:lncRNA
GGAUUGUCUUGGCUAUUCAGGCUCUUUUCUGAUGAUGAUAGAGUCAGUAAAUAAAUAGUUGAUAUGCAUACUGCUUAAUGAGGAAUUAUUUCCAUUUUACAUGUGUACAUGUCUCACUCUCCUACUUUGACUUUCAUAUAGCCAUUUCCUCGAUAUUUUCUGUAUUAAAAAUAGCAAAGAUACAUAUAAUAUGUUAUGUGUACCAAGAAAUUUUUAAUAGAACUUGGGCCAUGUGAGGUGGCUCACGCCUGUAAUUCUAGCACGUUGGUAGAUUGAGUUGGGUGGAUCACUUGAGAUCAGGAGUUUGAGACCAGCCUGGCCAACAUGAAAAAAAACCCAUCUCUACUAAAAAUACAAAAAGUUAGCCCAGUGUGGUGGCACACAAACCUAAGCCCAGCUACUCAGGAGGCUGAGGCAUGAGAGUCGUUUGAGCCUGGGAGAUGAACGUUGCAGGAAUUCAAGCUUGUGCCAGAGUACUCCAGCCUGGGUGACAAAGCAAGAAUCCAUUUAAAAUAAAUAAAUAAAAUAACUUUUCACAUAUUAAUUUAUUUAAAAUUCCCAACAGUACAUAAGAUACUUUUUAAAUCCCCAUUUUACAGAUAAAACAUUAAAUUUUACAAUAGUUUUUUUUAACCUGGUGAAUUAGUAUAUUUGUUAAAGAAAGAAAUAAAGAAAUCCAUAGCUGAGAGUUCUCUAAUUGUGUGUUUUGACUAUUAUGGAGUUCUUGGGACAUUCCUCUCACUGUUGUGGAUACUGAAAGAUCAACUUGUCUAUUGUCUGGCUUCUGGAGAGCAGAGACAGCUUUCUGGAACCCUGAGCUUGAUCUUGUCAUGUGAAAAAUCUGUUAGAAGAAAGGGAAAACUUAAGUUGCUUCUAUCUAGCACAAACUAGAUUACGUUGAUACUUUAGGGUCUUUUCUAAACUCAUUUGACAAAUCAUCAUUUUGAUACUCCUGAGCCAAUGCCAGUUAAGCAAAAGGUUGAGGCAUAACAGCUAUGAGGCAUGAGGAGGAAUUUGGACACAGAGACGGACACUCCCAGAAGAAAUACAAUGUGAAGACACACAGGGAGAAGAUAGCCUUGUACCAGGAAGAUGCAUCUGCAGACCAACAAAUGCCAAGGAUUGCCAGAGAACACCAGAAACUGGAAGAAUCAAGGAAGGAUUCUCCCCUGGAGCCAUCAGAGACAACGUGACCUAAUAUCACCUGGAUUUCUCACUACUAGCUUUCAGAACUGUUUGUCUGCUGCUCACUGAUGCCCAAAUGGGCCCCUGCAGAGCGAUCUAUGGGCUGCAUCACCAGUUUCCACUUGUCUUUUGGCUUCCAGUUGUGUUUACACUCAUCCAAGAUUGAGAAUCUAGUAGAAAGUCAGAUGUAGUGUUUAUUUUUCUGAAUCCUUCUAUGCCGGGCACAGUCACAGACCUGUGGUUGACUAUUUUUUCAUGGCCAUGUAUCCUGCUGAGCUCUGGCAACAAUGUCCCCCAUUUACCCCUUCAGGGGGAAGUAACUGUUCCUUGCUCUUGCUAGUCUCAGUGUACUUUAUCAUUUAUUAUUAUUUCUCUUAUCCUUGUGCAAACAUUUGUAAAUAUUCUCUUCAUUAAACUAUCUUCUUGUAAACCUUUUGAAUGUACAGUCUAUUUUCUGCCAAGUCCAUGUUUGUUAAAUUGAGCAAACAAGUUUUGUCUUUAUAAACCACUAGAAUAAUUCAGUAGGAGAACAGGACAAUUGCCAUUUCAGCAUUUCGUCUUGCCUAUCUAUUGGCAGUUAGACUUAUUUAUUAAACAUUAGAAAAAACUCCUCUCAUUUUUGGCAAAUACUUGGCAUAAUUUACUGUUAAAAAUUCACAUAUAAAUAUGUGCAAUGUAAUUAAAAGGCAUUGCUCAGUCAUAAAAUAUUGCAGACAUGGUCCCUAGAGAGGCCUGAAGCUGGGUUGUCAAAAAUGUUCUAUCUGGAAAAGAUGCAUCAUUCCAUCUUGCAGAAAAUUAUUAGAAUGGCUCUGUGGUAAUUUUGUGCUAGUUAUACGUAAUUGAUGAUGAGACAGGCACAUAGCUGGUUUUCAGAAUAGGUAAAUGCUCUUGCUAGUCUACGUAGCUUUUUUGUGUCAUUUUAAAAAUAAAAAUAAAAAACAAUACUUCUGCUUUGGGCAAUAUUAUUUAUAUGAGCACAAGAUUUAGGGAGCAGGAAACACAUUUCUAUGAAGAAAACCAAUAUCCUUUGGUUUGGGUAGACCCGCUCUCACAAGAAGUUCUAAG